UGCGUAGGCGGAACUUUAAGUCAGAUGUGAAAGCCCCGGGCUCAACCUGGGAACUGCAUCUGAUACUGAAGAUCUAGAAUAUGGCAGAGGAUAGUGGAAUUUCUGGUGUAGCGGUGAAAUGCGUAGAUAUCAGAAGGAACACCAGUGGCGAAGGCGACUGUCUGGGCUAAUAUUGACGCUGAGGUACGAAAGCGUGGGUAGCGAACA
rnacentral:rRNA from 1 species